rnacentral:rRNA from 1 species
AGUGAACGCUGGCGGUAGGCCUAACACAUGCAAGUCGAACGGCAGCACAGUAAGAGCUUGCUCUUACGGGUGGCGAGUGGCGGACGGGUGAGGAAUACAUCGGAAUCUACUUUUUCGUGGGGGAUAACGUAGGGAAACUUACGCUAAUACCGCAUACGACCUACGGGUGAAAGCAGGGGAUCUUCGGACCUUGCGCGAUUGAAUGAGCCGAUGUCGGAUUAGCUAGUUGGCGGGGUAAAGGCCCACCAAGGCGACGAUCCGUAGCUGGUCUGAGAGGAUGAUCCGGCACACUGGAACUGAGACACGGUCCAGACUCCUACGGGAGGCAGCAGUGGGGAAUAUUGGACAAUGGGCGCAGGCCUGAUCCAGCCAUACCGCGUGGGUGAAGAAGGCCUUCGGGUUGUAAAGCCCUUUUGUUGGGAAAGAAAAGCAGCAGGUUAAUACCCCGCUGUUCUGACGGUACCCAAAGAAUAAGCACCGGCUAACUUCGUG